AGUGGGGAAUUUUGGACAAUGGGCGCAAGCCUGAUCCAGCCAUGCCGCGUGCAGGAUGAAGGCCUUCGGGUUGUAAACUGCUUUUGUACGGAACGAAAAGGUUUCUUUUAAUACAGGGAACUGAUGACGGUACCGUAAGAAUAAGCACCGGCUAACUACGUGCCAGCAGCCGCGGUAAUACGUAGGGUGCGAGCGUUAAUCGGAAUUACUGGGCGUAAAGCGUGCGCAAGCGGUUAUGUAAGACAGAUGUGAAAUCCCCGGGCUCAACCUGGGAACUGCAUUAGUGACUGCAUAGCUGGAGUACGGCAGAGGGGGAUGGAAUUCCGCGUGUAGCAGUGAAAUGCGUAGAUAUGCGGAGGAACACCGAUGGCGAAGGCAAUCCCCUGGGCCUGUACUGACGCUCAUGCACGAAAGCGUGGGGAGCAAACAGGAUUAGAUACCCUGGUAGUCCACGCCCUAAACGAUGUCAACUGGUUGUUGGGUCUUCACUGACUCAGUAACGAAGCUAACGCGUGAAGUUGACCGCCUGGGGAGUACGGCCGCAAGGUUG
rnacentral:rRNA from 1 species